UUACGGCCAUAUCAUGCUGAAACACCGGUUGCCGUACAAUCACCGAAGUUAAGCAACAUCGAGUCUGGUCAGUACCUAGGUUGCUGUCCGCUUGGGAAUGACA